GACGUAGGAGGCGAGCGUUUAUCCGGAUUCACUGGGCGUAAAGCGCAAGUAGGCGGUUGUGAAAGUCCGUUGUUAAAGCCCCUGGCUCAACUGGGGGAGGUCAAUGGAGACUUUAUGACUUGAGGGCAACAGAGGCAUGUGGAACUCCCGGUGUAGCGGUGGAAUGCGCAGAUAUCAGGAGGAACACCAAUGGCGAAGGCAGCACUCUGGGACGUGACUGACGCUGAGACGCGAAAGCGUGGGGAGCAAACAGG
rnacentral:rRNA from 1 species